rnacentral:rRNA from 1 species
UACGUAGGGUGCAAGCGUUAAUCGGAAUUACUGGGCGUAAAGCGUGCGCAGACGGUUUCGCAAGUCAGAUGUGAAAGCCCCGGGCUUAACCUGGGAACUGCAUUUGAAACUACGAGGCUAGAGUGUGUCAGAGGGGGGUAGAAUUCCACGUGUAGCAGUGAAAUGCGUAGAGAUGUGGAGGAAUACCGAUGGCGAAGGCAGCCCCCUGGGAUAACACUGACGCUCAGGCACGAAAGCGUGGGGAGCAAACAGG